rnacentral:lncRNA from 1 species
AUUUUUUUCAUUACUAUGAUAUGAUAUAGUUAUUCUUCCUGUAUGUGGUUAUAAUAGGUACAUUAAAGAUUACUUUUUUUUUAUUGAACAGGUAGAAAGUUACUGUUUCCUUUCCUAAUAGUAAAAGACUUCAGACCACACAGAUUCAACUCUACAGAACUAACUUGGAUCAUACAAGGCAUAAACAGAUGAAUCUGUAUGGAAAUCCUAAUAUUUGAGCUAUUCUCUUCUGUUUAGAUACUGUUUUGGACCUGACCAGAGCAUACUUUGUGGCGUCUUACCAAAUUGUAGACUUUUCAUCUUCUUCUGUCAAAUAUGUGCACACAAACACAUCAGCAACUGAAGAGCCGUUCAUGGAACAAAUACUUUCUGCUAUAAGAGUACUGUUUUUCUAUGGACAGGUGG